AGUUAGUGGCGGACGGGUGAGUAACGCGUGGAUAACCUGCCGUAUACUGGGGGAUAACACUUAGAAAUAGGUGCUAAUACCGCAUAAGCGCACAGUCUCGCAUGAGACGGUGUGAAAAACUCCGGUGGUAUACGAUGGACCCGCGUCUGAUUAGCUUGUUGGCGGGGUAGGGGCCCACCAAGGCGACGAUCAGUAGCCGGCCUGAGAGGGUGGACGGCCACAUUGGGACUGAGACACGGCCCAAACUCCUACGGAAGGCAGCAG
rnacentral:rRNA from 1 species